AGCGAACGCUGGCGGCAGGCCUAACACAUGCAAGUCGAACGGACCCUUCGGGGUUAGUGGCGGACGGGUGAGUAACACGUGGGAACGUGCCUUUAGGUUCGGAAUAGCUCCUGGAAACGGGUGGUAAUGCCGAAUGUGCCCUUCGGGGGAAAGAUUUAUCGCCAUUGGAGCGGCCCGCGUCUGAUUAGCUAGUUGGUGGGGUAAAGGCCCGCCAAGGCGACGAUCAGUAGCUGGUCUGAGAGGAUGAUCAGCCACAUUGGGACUGAGACACGGCCCAAACUCCUACGGGAGGCAGCAGUGGGGAAUCUUGCGCAAUGGGCGAAAGCCUGACGCAGCCAUGCCGCGUGAAUGAUGAAGGUCUUAGGAUUGUAAAAUUCUUUCACCGGGGACGAUAAUGACGGUACCCGGAGAAGAAGCCCCGGCUAACUUCGUGCCAGCAGCCGCUGUAAUAC
rnacentral:rRNA from 1 species